GUUUCUCUGCUCUUGUGAUAAGACAGAUUGCUCUCUCCUUAAUGAAUCCUGGGUCUGCAGGUGAAGGAGCCCAAGCAUAGACUGGAGGCAUGAUAUCUGCAUUAUCCAGAUCAUCUCAAGCAGAGAAAUUGAAACAACUGGC
rnacentral:lncRNA from 12 species